rnacentral:rRNA from 1 species
AGGUAACCUGCCUCUUAGCGGGGGAUAACUAUUGGAAACGAUAGCUAAUACCGCAUAAAAGUCGACAUCGCAUGAUGUUGACUUGAAAGGUGCAAUUGCAUCACUAAGAGAUGGACCUGCGUUGUAUUAGCUAGUUGGUGAGGUAACGGCUCACCAAGGCGACGAUACAUAGCCGACCUGAGAGGGUGAUCGGCCACACUGGGACUGAGACACGGCCCAGACUCCUACGGGAGGCAGCAUG